rnacentral:rRNA from 1 species
GACGAACGCUGGCGGCAUGCCUAAUACAUGCAAGUCGAACGCUGAAGCACUCUGCUUGCAGAGUGCGGCUGAGUGGCGAACGGGUGAGUAACACGUGGGAAAUCUGCCUAUAAGAGGGGGAUAACAUUCGGAAACGGAUGCUAAUACCGCAUAUAUUCUUGGACCGCCUGGUCCUUGAAAGAAAGACGGCUUUGCUGUCGCUUAUAGAUGAUCCCGCGGCGUAUUAGUUAGUUGGUGGGGUAAAGGCCUACCAAGACAAUGAUACGUAGCCGACCUGAGAGGGUGAUCGGCCACACUGGGACUGAGACACGGCCCAGACUCCUACGGGAGGCAGCAGUAGGGAAUCUUCCACAAUGGGCGAAAGCCUGAUGGAGCAAUGCCGCGUGAAUGAAGAAGGUCUUCGGAUCGUAAAGUUCUGUUAUUAGAGAAGAACAAGUCAAGGAGUAACUGUCUUGACUUUGACGGUACCUAACCAGAAAGUCACGGCUAACUACGUG